GCUUGUUCUUGAUCUGUAACUUGCCUUAUCAGGUUCAAGUUGUCAGACUCCAACACAAAGUGCAAAGAAGACUUCGACCUCAGAUGCUUGCAUGCCUCAAGGAGAGCUAGGGCUUCAACUUGCCCGACUGUGGAAACACAAACUCUCUUUGCAAACCCAUCCACCAACUUGCCGGUAUAAUCUCUGCAAACGCACGCUAUACUCCCUUCCCAUCUACCUUCCUCAAAGGAGCCAUCCACGUUCACCUUCAACUCACUGCUAUUUGGAGGCUUCCAUUCCCCAGAGUCCACUACCUUCGACGGCUCAGGAACUCGUGUUUUAAAAACAAAAUCGUUCCUUGCUCUUUCCACAUCUCCUUAAGCACAGACGCCAAUCGCUCCGAUGAAGGUCUGGGUGUCGCCAAAUGCCUUUCGUCCAAUUGCACAGCAGAAAGAUAUGUUCAAUAGUUUUUGGGCUUUGCCGACAGAGAGGACACACGGG